GUAAAAAGCAGAAUCCAAGAACUGAUGAACCAAUAAAACAAAUGACCAGACAAAAAUGGCCUCGAAGAGCAGCAUUAGCAAAAAACUACAAAGAGCCUUCCAGUUCAGAAUCAGAGAGUGAAUGGGAGUCUUUAGCAUGCAUCUCUAGGGAGGAGAAAUCAAAAAUACAGAAACGUAAGAAUGGAGAAAAUGGGGAUGAUAAUGAGCAAAAGGACCUCCAGAAUAUUUCACCUAUGGAGCCAAAGAGAGCAGCAAACUAUGUACCCAAAGCAUUUACGGAAUCAAAGAACUUUGCAGAAGAAAAGAAAAUUGAAAUGCCCUCAUCUGAGAGUCCUGUGUCUCUUGAGAUCGUGAGAUGUACUGAAAGAAAAUCAGGAGAUGUUACUCAAGAACAUAC
rnacentral:lncRNA from 14 species